GGAAAAAGUCGUAACAAGGUUUCCGUAGGUGAACCUGCGGAAGGAUCAUUACAGAGUUCAUGCCCUCACGGGUAGAUCUCCCACCCUUGAAUAUUUAUACCUUAGUUGCUUUGGCAGGCCGUGGAAACACCAUGGGCUCCGGCUUAUGCGUGCCUGCCAGAGGAAACAAACUCUGUUUUUAGUGAUGUCUGAGUACUAUAUAAUAGUUAAAACUUUCAACAACGGAUCUCUUGGUUCUG
rnacentral:misc_RNA from 1 species